rnacentral:tRNA from 1 species
CUGUAGCGCAGUGGAUAGCACUUUGGACUUUUUAUCCAAAGAUCGUGGGUUCGAAUCCCCCCUAAAAGG